GAUGAACGCUGGCGGCGUGCCUAAUACACGCAAGUCGAGCGAACAGACGAGGAGCUUGCUCCUCUGACGUUAGCGGCGGACGGGUGAGUAACACGUGGAUAACCUACCUAUAAGACUGGGAUAACUUCGGGAAACCGGAGCUAAUACCGGAUAAUAUAUUGAACCGCAUGGUUCAAUAGUGAAAGACGGUUUUGCUGUCACUUAUAGAUGGAUCCGCGCCGCAUUAGCUAGUUGGUAAGGUAACGACUUACCAAGGCAACGAUGCGUAGCCGACCUGAGAGGGUGAUCGGCCACACUGGAACUGAGACACGGUCCAGACUCCUACGGGAGGCAGCAGUAGGGAAUCUUCCGCAAUGGGCGAAAGCCUGACGGAGCAACGCCGCGUGAGUGAUGAAGGUCUUCGGAUCGUAAAACUCUGUUAUUAGGGAAGAACAAAUGUGUAAGUAACUAUGCACGUCUUGACGGUACCUAAUCAGAAAGCCACGGCUAACUACGUG
rnacentral:rRNA from 1 species